UGGGGAAUAUUGCACAAUGGGCGCAAGCCUGAUGCAGCGACGCCGCGUGCGGGAUGGAGGCCUUCGGGUUGUAAACCGCUUUUGUUCAAGGGCAAGGCACGGCUUCGGCCGUGUUGAGUGGAUUGUUCGAAUAAGCACCGGCUAACUACGUGCC
rnacentral:rRNA from 1 species